UUGACCGUAAAGCUCCUAGGUUUCUCAACUCAUAGAGAAAGUUAAAUCCUAGACAUAAGAAAUGGAUGGAGUUCCUUCAAUCAUACACCUUUGUAUUGAAACACUAUAUCGAUGUUAAUAAUCAUGCUGUGGAUACACUCUCUCAUAGGGUGGAUCCUUAUCAGCAGUAGUUAUUGAUAAGAAUUGAACUACUAAUGCACUCCAUCAAAGAGUGGACCUUCUAUGAGUAGUGAAUGUUAAAACCAUCGGCAUUGAGAAAUUGAAAGAGGAUUAUGAUGAC
rnacentral:lncRNA from 1 species